CCCCCCCCCCCCCCCCACACUACGCCUCUGAGCAGAACAAUAUGAAUUUGUAAUAUUUACUAAAGAAAAGGAGUAGAUCUAUAACAACUUUUAUAUUUAUACAGUCAAAACAUUGAUGUAAUAAAUGUGAUGCUUGUCAAACUUGACUGCAAGUAGCGGAUACCAAGCAUGUAGGGACGGAUGAUUUUUUAAACAAAUCUAAUAUUCUUUAGUUAUUAAGAAAAAAAAAUGAUUGCUCUAUACUUUGUAUAAAGCAGGGUAUUGUCUGUAAAAAAAAGUUUUUUUUUUCUGUUUUUCUUGUUUAGCUGUCAUAUCUUUUCAUAGUCAAGCCAUUUUACUACAUGCAUGAUUUAUUUCUUUGAUUUAUGCUUGAUGUAAAUAUUGUUUAUCUUUGGAGUAAUUAUUUUAUUGAAUUGAAUUUGAAAAUAUUAAACUCUCAAUGAAUUGCAUUCCACACUGUGGGUGGAGUUGUUGUUUAUGGUUGCGUAAUGUCUGAGAAUGUCUAUUUCCUCUCUUCUAGCUUCAUAAAGCUUUGUAUUAGGUUUCUCUA